ACAGCAGUAGCCACGGUAACACGGAGGGUGCAAGCGUUAAUCGGAAUUACUGGGCGUAAAGCGCACGCAGGCGGUCUGACAAGUCAGAUGUGAAAUCCCCGGGCUUAACCUGGGAACUGCAUUUGAAACUGUCAGGCUGGAGUCUUGUAGAGGGGGGUGGAAUUCCAGGUGUAGCGGUGAAAUGCGUAGAGAUCUGGAGGAAUACCGGUGGCGAAGGCGGCCCCCUGGACAAAGACUGACGCUCAGGUGCGAAAGCGUGGGGAGCAAACAGGAUUAGAUACCCCGGUAGUCCCUGUCUCUUAUAC
rnacentral:rRNA from 1 species